ACGUAGGUGACAAGCGUUGUCCGGAUUUAUUGGGCGUAAAGCGAGCGCAKGCGGGUCCGGUAAGUCUGAUGUGAAAGCCCACGGCUCAACCGUGGAACGGCAUUGGAAACUGGCCGACUUGAAUGUAGCAGAGGAAAGUGGAAUUCCAUGUKUAGCGGUGGAAUGCGUAGAUAUAUGGAGGAACACCAGUGGCGAAAGCGACUUUCUGGGCUAUGAUUGACGCURAGGCUCGAAAGCGUGGGGAGCGAACAGGAUUAGAUACCCYUGKUAGUCCACGCCKUAAACGAUGAGUGCGAAGUGUUGGAGGGUUUCCGCCCUUCAGUGCUGGAGUUAACGCAUUAAGCACUCCGCCUGGGGAUUACGACCGCAAGGUUGAAACUCAAAAGAAUUGACGGGGACCCGCACAAGCGGUGGAGCAUGUKGUUUAAUUCGAAGCAACGCGAAGAACCUUACCAGCUCUUGACAUCUUCUGCCACCUUCAGAGAUGAAGGGUUCCCUUCGGGGACAGAAUGACAGGUGGUGCAUGGUUGUCGUCAGCUCGUGUCGUGAGAUGUUGGGUUAAGUCCCGUAACGAGCGCAACCCUUAUUGUUAGUUGCCAGCAUUGAGUUGGGCACUCUAGCAAGACUKCCGGUGAUAAACCGGAGGAAGGCCGGGGAUGACGCCAAAUCAUCAUGCCCCUUAUGAGCUGGGCUACACACGUKCUAAAAUGGAUGGUACAACGAGUKGCGAGACCKUGAGGUUUAGCUAAUCUCCCAAAGCCAUUYUCAGUUCGGAUUGCAGGCUGCAACUCSCCUGCWUGAAGUCGRAAUCGCUAGUAAUCGCGGAUCAGAAUGCCGCGGUGAAUUCGUUCCCGGGU
rnacentral:rRNA from 1 species